UACUGAUUUGCCCUCUACACUGACAUCAUCUCCAUUUCAGAUUCCAAGCUAAGCUUUUGCUGAGUUUGGGCUCUCGUCACAAAUGAAGUCUACUUAAUCUGAACAGCCUCUCCAUGAAGUAGUAAAAUAAUACUGCAUCAGUUUUAAAUUAUUAUUAACACUCAUAACCCUAUACUGCAUACUAAAUACAUUAUACCCUGUGCUUUGGAACAGACAGCUGCAGGAUUUUAAAGCCAUAAAUAAUAUUUAUGAAAUGUCACAUGACUUCUGUGUGGUUAUGAAAAAAUAAGAACCCAGUGUUGGUGGGUGUGUUUGAACACAGCGUGAUCUUGUGUCCUGAGGUCAGGCGUGUGACCUGUGCCGAGUCCUGUCCCGUUCCCAGAGCAGCCACACCCAGAGCACCAUGAAGAUGACUAUUUCCACCCACCCCACCCUUCCCCUGGGCUCUGUCUGAAAACCUAACAUGCAAAUCGUGCCUGUCUAAACAGGUUGGGGGACUGAUAGUUAAGCAGUGACACUGCUUUUGUCCUCUCGCUGGUCUCCCCAUAUGCUGUAUAAACUAUAUUACAGUUAAAUCUGGUGGCGCUGCUUCUUUCCAGCACCCUCCUGCCUGCCUAUGGCUCGCCACCCCCUCGCUGUCUCUAGCUCUCCAGUUUGUGCCCCUCCUUUCAGCACGCUGAACACCCAGGGAUGCUGAAAUAUCACUGACUUCAUCCAACACCCGCCCACCCGCAAGCCCACUCUGCAUUUGACUCACAUUAAGGUCCUUCGUUUUUGUCAGCAGCGGUCACGGGAUCGUGUCAGACCACAGUGGAGUGAGCAGGCGGACCAAAUGGCAACGCUGGAAAAGAACCAGAAAAACCGCCAGUAGCUGAUUUUGAAGAAAGUGCUGUAGGGUGAGGCGACACGUUCACUUACUGGGACGGUAACGGAGACAGGUAACGAUCCUGGAUGGGUUUAUCAGAACCACCUUUACUGGUGGCGCUACAGAGGAGGUCAACAGUCCUGGAUGUUAGCAGGAUUACCUCCUCACUAUGGCACUGCUGUCAGGGCCUGUGUGCAGGCUGCUGUGUGCAUUACAGGCAGAAAGCCCGCCUGCUGUGAAAGACUGUUCUGUCAGAGGCUUUUGUUCAAAUCUAAAGAUCGGUUUAACAUGUUACACACUAGCUACUGCUGGCAAUUUAAAAAGGAGCUUCUGUUGAUGUGUCAGGAGCCAAAAACAUGUGACACCACAGCCCCGGUGCCUAGAUUUUGACAUUAAAAUCACGAUAUUACUCUCUAAAACCUAAACUCUCAUCUUUUGUGCCAUUCUGCUCAGAGCUAAUUUUAGUCUUGCCCUCAUUCUCUGUAUGUGGCCUCUUUACGCAUGCGAUGUGGUUAUAUGAAUCGUGCCCGUUCUGCAAUCAACCACACACAGCAAACUAAACCGGACACACACAUGUCAGACUCCACCACUCCAAUGUGCUGUGUGCCCACAUUCAUGUAGAUCUCUCAGCGAUAUUCCACUAAAAUAGCUUUCCGUGGCCUGUCUGCCAGUCUCACCUCCAGAUGCUUUCCUCUUGGGUUCCUUCGUAGUUUCAACACUGAGCCCCGCAGUAUUUAUCACUAUAACUCCCCUUUAUCUCUGAACAAGGACCAUGGAGCUUAACUUUAGGCGGUCUAGUUAAUAAAUUUGACAGGAAGUUCUCAAUUAUUUGCUUAUGCCAGUGUUUGACUGUAGUCUAUCUUGUAAUACAAUCAGUAUCUUGGGGGAAAUUACAUUUCUUCAAGGAAAUUAAACAUUUAUCGUCUGACUACUUUUUGCAUGUUCCACCAAAUAUUUGGUCUGUGGGAGCCCAUUGUUAGGAAAAACACUUCUGAUUACAAAAUCCCAAAUUUUUGGUUGGAUUUUAUUUUUUUGGGAGGGUACAAAUAAUCUUGCAUAAAGCCUCCACAUUUGCAAUAAAAACCUAUUUGUUUAUAAUAAAAAUGCUAAUAUUUCAAAUUAGCCAUCUCUAAAUUGCUUUUUUGUUUGUUUUCAUCCUGAUGAAUCACAAAGUCAGAAUAACAUUUAAAUAUAGUUUAUCUUGAUUUUAAUUUCAAAGAAGGAACAAAAAAGCCCCAUUUUGAUUGCAGUUAUCAGCAGGUACUAUACAGUUAUAGGGGAAUGCCUGCCAUUAUAAUAAGAAGUCUUUAAAGGGCAACUGUUAGUUAAAUUAGUAUUGCACUGGUGUUUUUGGCUUCUAUGACUCUGACUUUCAUCAGCGACGGCGCUAACCUGACGCAAACACUGUGCUUGAACCCACACUAGUGACUGGUGGCCCUUUGCUUUGCUGCAGGUGCGCAGAUGCAUAGAUAGCUGACUUUUCAACGUUCACUUUGCAGUCUGGACUUUCUUUUGGAAAAUAAACUUCCCCACCCUCUUUUGUGCGUCAGUGUGUCGGUUUUGCUGUCACCUUUUCACACAGCUUAGUCACAAUAUGAAAAAUUGGCGUCAAUGACAGGGCUACUGCCUGGUUAUAGGGGAACACCUGCCAUUUAAACGAGAAUCAGAAAAACGACACAGUUUUCUCGUGUUGCAGCCGUUUAUUGUUCACAUAAAACACAUUCAGACUGGAGUAGAGCCCCCGCCCCCCUCGAGCUUCUCAGUAAACCACAGGUGUAUGCAUUCAGCAAAAAAAGAAAAAUGAAGACGCUGACAGCUUUAACCUUCAGUUUUUAAAUUAAUGGCCUUCCAUAUUGACAAAGUCCAAACACGAGAGCACAACCCAGUCAGUUGAUAUGCUAAGUGAUUUUGAACAAACACAAUCCCGACCUCAAGUCACCACGCAGACCCACAACAGAGCGCCGUGACUUUCUACCAGUGUCUCUUCUGUUCUUUUGUAAACAUAAACAAAGCUAAACAAUAGAGAGAACACACACACAGAAAUCCUAUUUUGUUACCCGGUGCAGCUGGUUUUGAUCACUGGGUAAAGCAAAACAAACUAUCAGAUGGAUUUGAGGCAGCGCUCAGAGUAACGCUACCCUGCGAGGGGCAUUUCCUCAACCCCGCAAACCGCUCCGGCAAAUAAAAGAAGGCUGACCUUGUGGCUCCUAAAGUGAAAGACAUGCUGGGAAUUUCGUCUGUAAUCAUUGUCACUUUUCCUGUACUAUGCAGGAGGUCACGCAUAGUUGAAGCGUUCAAAGACGCACUGUCUUGCAAGAGGGAGCACAUUUAUGCUAACUGCUUUCACUUUGUCUGAGCAAAAGUGACCGACUGAUAUAAAGUGUAUAUUUUUAGCCCUUUAUCAGAGAAAUAGGUUGAAAAUCCACUUUUACCAUCCACUGUUUAAUUUGCGAUAUGUGAUCCUAAUAGUUUUGCUGUCACAGCAGAUGCAUGUGGGUGGAUUAACUUUCAGUCUUCCCUUUCUUGCUGUAAGUGCACCGUUUGACACUGGAGCGACUUUUUCCUGUCUUCACCUCAUAUUUAACACUGGGAAAGUAAUUAUGAGCCAAUACAGGAUACAGAACAUACAUUAAAGAGGCAGAUGUUUUCCUCUACCCUGUAGUGCUAAUUAUUCUAUUAGACUGUUGUGGUGUGGGUUUCCCA
ensembl:lncRNA